GAGAGUUUGAUCCUGGCUCAGAUUGAACGCUGGCGGCAGGCCUAACACAUGCAAGUCGAGCGGAAACGACUUAACUGACCUUCGGGGGACGUUAAGGGCGUCGAGCGGCGGACGGGGUGAGUAAUGCCUGGGAAAUUGCCCUGAUGUGGGGGAUAACCAUUGGAAACGAUGGCUAAUACCGCAUAAUGCCUUCGGGCCAAAGAGGGGGACCUUCGGGCCUCUCGCGUCAGGAUAUGCCCAGGUGGGAUUAGCUAGUUGGUGAGUAAGGGCUCACCAAGGCGACGAUCCCUAGCUGGUCUGAGAGGAUGAUCAGCCACACUGGAACUGAGACACGGUCCAGACUCCUACGGGAGGCAGCAGUGGGGAAUAUUGCACGAUGGGCGCAAGCCUGAUGCAGCCAUGCCGCGUGUAUGAAGAAGGCCUUCGGGUUGUAAAGUACUUUCAGUCGUGAGGAAGGUAGUGUAGUUAAUAGCUGCAUUGCUUGACGUUAGCGACAGAAGAAGCACCGGCUAACUCUGUG
rnacentral:rRNA from 1 species